AUCUAGGGUUUCACAUUCAUUCAUUUCAAAACAUUUCAAAGCAUAUCACCGCUCCCUGCUCCUCUCUCUCUCUCUCUCUCUCUCGUGAUUUCACCAGAUGUAUGAAGUUUCAGCAGAUCGAUGAAGAUUCUAGCCUCCUGGUUUCGAUUUCUGGCUUUUAUUGGCUUUAUUUCAUCCCUAAUUUCUCUUCCCUUUCGUCUUCCUUCUUAAGAAGAGCAAUAUCCAUCUUCAAGAGGUUAUUCAUAGGCUUGCUCAGAUCGACGGAGAAGAGUUGCAACGGAGAGGAGGUGCAACUGAGACUUUUAGAUCUGCGAUCCCCAAACCCUAAUACGGUAAAACUUUUAGAUCUGGUAUGUUUAUAUGCAGGUUGGGGGAUUUUGAUUUCAGGUCAUUUCCGGCUGUUGUUCUAUCUUCACAUUUAGAAAAUCUUUUUUUUACCUCAUGAAUUAUUACUCUUUGAAUAACUUGCUGGUUUUUCAAAGAAAAGAAAUAAGAGGCUGCAUUGGCAACCAAGAGGCUAAAAGAUUUUCUGAAAGCAUGCAACUCUAUAGAUGAUGGUUGCUCAAAAGUAUACUAAUGAGGGCCAACGAAGCCUUGCAUUUGCCACACAAAUGGAAAAGCUUCCAGAUAUUAGGGGCAACCCGUUAUUGCUGUUGGCGUAGGGCGCAGUACAUACGAUAAAGCAUCAAUACAUUACUAUGUUCAGUCACACAUCCAGAUAAAUGAAUACAGAUACCGGAUAAUAUUGUCGGCUGCAACGAAGAAGUUUGAGCGGCAUAUUAGCACCUGUGUCAAGGUUCUAGAUAUGAAAAACCUUAAUCAGAUGGCCUGUAUGUUUUGCCUAAGUUUUGGCUUUGAUAUUUAAGUAUUAGAAAUUUUUGGUCUCAAAGGUUUGUCACUCUGUGUUGGAUUUGGUCGUUAACACUGGUUGAUGUUAAACAUAGGUUUUAAAAUGAUCCGCAAGCCAAUCUUGUUGAUGAGAUUUCAAAUCUCAGUUAUGAUAAUGCCACCACCGGUGCCACAAUGACGUUUAGUGGUCGGUUAGGGUGGACGAGGCGCCGACAAUAUGAGUAUUUUAUUUUCCAUUGACAUUUUUUCAUCAUGUUUUAGUUAUUUACGGGUGUUACAAACCGUUUGCUGAAUUUGACAAGCACUUUAUUUCAAAGCGCAAGAUGAUUCAUAGGCUGCUCGGUGGUGUUUUGGUAGGAACAACUGACUAACAAUCUCUGGUUAUUUUAGGGCCUAUUUUGACAUGGUUCGGGGCUCCUGUGAAAAAGGAGCUCGAAGAACUUGAUUUACUCAUAUUUGAUGGCACAAAAGACGACUCUCAGUCUGUCACCUAAGGUUGGUACGUGGUGGGCAAUGGUACGGGUGUUCACCUCAAACUCAAAAGAAGCAGGCUGGACGGUUCAGCACCAACUCAGACAAGCUCAAGAAAAUGUCUUAAAACAGUCUCAAGUUGGCUCAACCAGAGGACGUGUUUGACGUCGUGAGGGACAUUCAUGACUUGGCUGGUCAAUGUGGGCUCCUUGCUGACGUGCCUUAUGUUUUAACAUCAUCGUUUACAAACUUAAUUCAGUAAGAUGUACAUGUAGUUUCUAGAAUAUGAUUGAUAACCUACCGUUUUAAGCUUGGAAUAAAGCUCUUAUAGAAUACAAGUUUUUUGGUCAUGUGCUAAUUAGGGUGUUUUAGAACAUUAAAAAUGUAAAAAGAAUCUUGUUUAAUCGAUGAUUAUAGAUUGGGUUUAUCCAUAAAACUCAA